GGGUCGGUGGUCUAGCUUGGCUACAAAAGGCCACUUGUGCUCGCAAGACUCCAGGGGAUCAGGAGUUCGAAUCUCCUCCGGCCCACCA
rnacentral:tRNA from 1 species